UACGUAUGGGGCAAGCGUUAUCCGGAUUUACUGGGUGUAAAGGGAGCGCAGGCGGCCUGGCAAGCCUGAUGUGAAAUACCGGGGCCCAACCCCGGGGCUGCAUUGGGAACUGCCAGGCUGGAGUGCCGGAGAGGCAGGCGGAAUUCCUAGUGUAGCGGUGAAAUGCGUAGGUAUUAGGAGGAACACCAGUGGCGAAGGCGGCCUGCUGGACGGUGACUGACGCUGAGGCUCGAAAGCGUGGGGAGCAAACAGG
rnacentral:rRNA from 1 species